GUGCACUAAUUUUACGAUUUAAGUACAUGUGAUAAGUGAAAAAAAGAAAAUAACGUAAAAAUUAAAAGAAUUAAAAUUAUUUAUUAAAAUAAGAAAUAAAAAAAAAUAGAAUGAUGCAUAUAAAAAUUGAAACAGAAAGGAGGUAUGUUAAAAAUAAGAAAAAGGUGAUAAAUUAAAAGAGAAGAAGAUCUACUUUGAAACUUGAAAGGGUUAGGUUUUGGGAGAAACACCAAUCCACUUCCAGGUAAAUCUUCUCUUCCCACUUUUCUUAGAUUUCAAUUUGAUUCGAUUCUCUUUUUGUUCUCUCUUUACAUCAAUCUACCUGUCCUCUAAUCUUGCCAAUUCCCGAUUCAAUAUUUUCUUGAUUUGUUUCUUGUCUCCGACUCAUCAUUUAUUCUCUAUCCGUUCUUGUGUAUUUCAAUUUUAUUGUAUAUUUGUUAUGUUUGCACGAUUAAUUGUUUGUCAUCGUUGAGAGAAAGGGUCUACGUUAAGCCUCUUCCUUAAUUAAAUUCGAAAUUUCAGUUCUUAAUUUUGUAGAGUUAGAAGAAAUCAACGAUGCCUUGCUAUGAUGAUAAAUAUGGUAGUACCCGUCUCUAUGUUGGACGCUGGUCUUUGAGGACUCGUUCCCGUGAUCUGGAGUGUGUCUUUAGCAGAUAUGGAAGCCUCUUCGAUUCAUCUAUAUUGAGUACAUUGACAAGGAGCUGGGAUGUUUUAUGCUGAAAGUUGGGGGAUGAUAUACAGGUUUUUUCCGAGCUUUCUUUUGAACUUGGAUUUAUAUUGGUUAUUUGUCAUGUUAUGCGUGAGAACCAAAUUGUCUAAGUGUCAUGUUUUAACUUGAACGAUCUUGUUGAAGGUUUUGGGGUUUUGGCUAAACUUGGAGGUCUUUGUUGGAAGGUUGGCCUUGGUAGAAUUGAUGGAAAUUCCUAUCAAGUGUUGACUUUGGCGAUUUUUUCUGUAAUGUUAUUACAUGUUUUUUUUUUAUGGAAAUGACAACAAUCACAAACUGGUGUUUAGUUCCUCUUUGUGGGACGAUGUAUCAUAUAGUUCCAGUAAUUAAGUAAUGAUGGCCAUUCUAUUUCUGGAAACCAUUUCUAGAGAGUUGGAGAUGUGGAUAUGAAUUAUGAAGCAUGAUUUCACCUUUGUUGGAAGUUGCCACCUUUUCGUUGUCUUUGUUUAUUUAUUUUGCUUUUCAAUUUCUCCUCAUGCUUUUGCUACAAGGUGGUUUUUAACAUAUGCUCGGAGGAAUUCAGUUGUAAAUGAUGGUAAGAUUUUUUGUGUUACUUUAUUGGCAUGUUCCUGACAUCUUUUGAACAUGAAUUUAGCAGGUCACGUUCUCCUCGUCGUGGCUGAAGCAGGGAUAGAAGCUACAGAAGAGAACGAAGGCCAGUUUGAGAGGAUAGAUGACAGUCCUAAAGCCUCCAAGAUAAGGAAGCACAGACCAAAGCAGCCCACAGACAUAUCCUGGUAAUCAUAGGUUGCUCACUCGGCAGCAGCAAGACAGGUCUGACUACAGUGAUGGUCCUAGAGGGACCCUGACGAGGGCGGCUUUGAUAGCCCUAAAGCUAAUGGGCCUAGCCGUAGCCCAAAGGAUGAUGAUAGGAGCCCCAUUGAUGAGGAUGAUGACAACCACCGCCACUCACAGUCACCUUAAUGAAGUCAGGACGUGGAUGUGGCCCAAUUUGUAUCCUGCUUUGUUUAUAAAAUGCACUGCAGCUUAAUUUUGUGACAAUUGCUUAUGAAGAACGAUUUUAUGUGUGCUAUUUUUCAGAUUCUUUCUGGUCAAGCAACAUGUGUGGCUUGGCUUACCUAGAAUAUGAAGUGCAUGAAUUUAUUUCAACUGUUGCCAUAAUUUAAACCAAUAGGAAUUAUUGUGAGAAAUUUAAUUCUGGCAUGUUUUGAAUC